CUCAAGUACAGCUCCUUCCAAGUCAUGAAAAACCCAGCAUGUCCAAUUUUAGUCUCAUCAACAAAGAUGUGAUUCCUAAUGGCUUGAACCUCACGAGAAAAGGAUUCAGGCAUGCUGUGGAAAACAAUAAGAAAACAUGUUCUAAUAAUGAAGAAAAUAAGGAACCUGAGAGUAGCAAUGGAUACUGAGAGGCACAAUUGGGGACUGGAAAAAUCACUUCAAAGUAGCCCAAGCUGAAGCCUUCGAUAAAGUAUUCCAGGAGAAAAUGGCUAGUUUCCCUCCAGGGAUAUUCCCAUGGAAUAAGUUUUCAAAACUUUUAAAUAUUAUACAAACAUUGAUGUUUAUGUUCCUGUUGUUCUAUAUGUGAAUAACUGAAUGUGGUCUUAGAAUAAACCAUGUUGUGGAAUUGUGAAGGUGAUUUUUUAAAAGAUAGUGUUACUAAUACCAGUAGUAGCAACAAUAGUGGUGGUGGUGAUAUGUAUACCUUUAUGUUUUUAGUGCCUUCAGAGGUGAGAAGAGUGUGUUGGUUCCAAGGGACCUGAAGUUGCAUGUAGCUGUGAACCUCUUGCUUUGGAGCCUAGGAACUGAUCUCAGACUUCUAACUGGCCUGCUGCCCUGAAGUCUCUAUAUCCUGACCCAUCCUAGAAGAACCACUGUACUCAGAGCAGCAGGUAAGAACCCUCCUCUACAACCCUAUACCUCAGAGCUGUACCUGGGAGCCUGGGGCAUGCAGGACCCAUCA